rnacentral:rRNA from 1 species
CCUACGGGGUGCAGCAGUGAGGAAUAUUGGUCAAUGGGCGGAAGCCUGAACCAGCCAAGUAGCGUGCGGGAUGAAGGCCCUACGGGUCGUAAACCGCUUUUGCACGGGGAUAACACCCUCCACUUGUGGAGGUCUGCAUGUACCGUGCGAAUAAGGGCCGGCUAAUUCCGUGCCAACAGCCGCGGUAAUACGGAAGGCCCGAUCGUUAUCCGGAUUCAUUGGGCUUAAAGGGAGCGUAGGCGGGCGUUCAAGUCAGCUUUAAAAUGGUGCGGCUGUACCGGGCCACGAAGUUGACACUGGACGCCUUGAGUUCAAAACAGGCAGGCGGAAUUCGUGGUGUAGCGGUGAAAUGCAUAGAUAUCACGAGGAACCCCGAUUGCGAAGGCAGCCUGCCGGGGUGCGACUGACGCUGAGGCUCGAAGGUGCGGGUAUCAAACAGGAUUAGAUACCCCAGUAGUC